CAGCAGGAGCAGACCACAGGGAUUGCCCCAGUAACGGCGAGUGAAGCGGCAACAGCUCAAAUUUGAAAUCUGGCCCCCGGGUCCGAGUUGUAAUUUGCAGAGGAUGCUUCGGGCGAGGUGCCUUCCGAGUUCCCUGGAACGGGACGCCACAGAGGGUGAGAGCCCCGUCUGGUCGGACACCGAGCCCGUGUGAAGCUCCUUCGAAGAGUCGAGUAGUUUGGGAAUGCUGCUCAAAAUGGGAGGUAUAUGUCUUCUAAAGCUAAAUAUUGGCCAGAGACCGAUAGCGCACAAGUAGAGUGAUCGAAAGAUGAAAAGCACUUUGAAAAGAGGGUUAAAAAGUACGUGAAAUUGUUGAAAGGGAAGCGCCCAUGACCAGACUUGGGCCCGGUGAAUCACCCGGCGUUCUCGCCGGUGCACUUUGCCGGGCACAGGCCAGCAUCAGUUUGGCGCGGGGGACAAAGGCUUCGGGAACGUGGCUCCCUCGGGAGUGUUAUAGCCCGCUGCGUAAUACCCUGCGCCGGACUGAGGUACGCGCAUCGCAAGGAUGCUGGCGUAAUGGUCAUCAGCGACCCGUCUUGAAACACGGACCAAGGAGUCGUCUUCGUAUGCGAGUGUUCGGGUGUCAAACCCCUACGCGGAAUGAAAGUGAACGCAGGUGAGAGCUUCGGCGCAUCAUCGACCGAUCCUGAUGUUCUCGGAUGGAUUUGAGUAAGAGCAUACGGGGCCGGACCCGAAAGAAGGUGAACUAUGCCUGUAUAGGGUGAAGCCAGAGGAAACUCUGGUGGAAGCUCGCAGCGGUUCUGACGUGCGAAUCGAUCGUCAAAUAUGGGCAUGGGGGCGAAAGACUAAUCGAACCUUCUAGUAGCUGGUUUCCGCCGAGU
rnacentral:rRNA from 1 species